rnacentral:lncRNA from 1 species
UGAGACUUCAAAUAUUUGAUAAUGAGUUUCCAUGUUUAGGUUUUAAAACAGAAACCAUAUUUUUUGUUUGGUGUAGUACGAUCGCACUAUUGUUGUGAUGGAUGGAGUGAUUAGUGGAUGACCCGAAGCUUGGUCUAUAGUCCUAAACUUAGUGUCUCUCCAUUUGGUUGCAAUAAUAUAUGUACAAGAGUGGGUAGAGAAGGACAAAAAUAGAAAAAAAGUAGAGGCAACUCAAAUGUGGUAGUUAAGAAGGUAUGGGAUAAAAGAUGAAAGAUGAAAAAUGAAAAUGUUUGAAAAGGACAAAGAAGGACAAUGGUAGAGAUAAAGAACAUUGAAAGGGAAUUAGUUAAGAAUAUGUAAAUGCCACAUUCAAGAAUAGUAAAUGAAAGAGACACAUUUGAAAACUUGAAAGUGAUGAGAGGCCAAAUAAUGGAGUAUAUAUAUAUA